AGCAAAAUGAUGAGUCUAUCAUAUCUGAACAUCAUGUAGAAUCCUUAUCAGAUUGGUCUUCAAAGUUCUCUGAUUGCU